AACGAACGCUGGCGGCGUGGAUAAGACAUGCAAGUCGAACGGGACAGACCGAGUAGCAAUAUUUGGAAUGUUCAGUGGCGAACGGGUGCGUAACACGUGGAUAACAUUCCGGAAAGCGGGGAAUAGCCCAGGGAAACUUGGAUUAAUACCGCAUGUGGCCGCAAGGCUAAAGACGGGGACCGCAAGGCCUGUCACUUUGCGACUGGUCCGCGGCCUAUCAGCUAGUUGGCGGGGUAAUGGCCCACCAAGGCUACGACGGGUAGCGGGUCUUAGAGGACGACCAGCCACACUGGAACUGAGACACGGUCCAGACACCUACGGGUGGCAGCAGUCGAGAAUCUUUCACAAUGGGGGCAACCCUGAUGGAGCGACGCCGCGUGGAGGAUAAGGUCUUCGGAUUGUAAACUCCUGUCAUGCGAGAACAAGGUACUCAGGCUAAUAACCUGAUUGUUUGAUGGUACCGCAAGAGGAAGAGACGGCUAACUCUGUGCCAGCCGCCGCAGUAAGAC
rnacentral:rRNA from 1 species